rnacentral:rRNA from 1 species
GAACGAACGCUGGCGGCAGGCCUAACACAUGCAAGUCGAGCGAUCCUUCGGGAUAGCGGCGGACGGGUGAGUAACGCGUGGGAACGUGCCCGAUGGUGCGGGAUAGCCUCUGGAAUCAGAGAUUAAUACCGCAUGUACCCUGCAGGGGAAAGAUUUAUCGCCAUCGGAUCGGCCCGCGUUGGAUUAGGUAGUUGGUGGGGUAACGGCCUACCAAGCCGACGAUCCAUAGCUGGUUUGAGAGGAUGAUCAGCCACACUGGGACUGAGACACGGCCCAGACUCCUACGGGAGGCAGCAGUGGGGAAUCAUAGACAAUGGGGGAAACCCUGAUCUUGCCAUGCCGCGUGAGCGAUGAAGGCCCUAGGGUUGUAAAGCUCUUUCGCCAGGGAAGAUAAUGACGGUACCUGGUAAAGAAACCCCGGCUAACUCCGUGCCAGCAGCCGCGGUAAUACGGAGGGGGUUAGCAGUUGUUCGGAAUUACUGGGCGUAAAGCGCACGUAGGCGGACUGGAAAGUUGGGGGUGAAAUCCCGGGGCUCAACCCCGGAACUGCCUUCAAGACUGUCAGUCUGGAGUCCGAGAGAGGUGAGUGGAACUCCGAGUGUAGAGGUGAAAUUC